AAAUGCAAAUCAAAACCAGGACGCAUCACCUUAUACCUGUCAGAAUGGCUGUUACAAAAAAGAAAUAACAAGUGUUGGCAAGGUUGUGGAGAAAAAGGAAGCCUUGGGGAACCUGCGUGGCUCAUCAAUCUAAUCAACCUGCCAGAUUUUCCUGGUGAUCUUUUGAAAACUGAAGACCAACAUUUGAAACUGCAGUACCAAAAUCCACAAAAUAGCACUAAAGAGCACAGUUCUGGGGAAUAUCCCAGACAACAGGAUGGAUGAAUGCAAAUGAGACCAAUGCAGACAGACUGCAAAGGAACUGAGAGAGCGAGCACAAGCAAAGAGGCAGAAGGAGAGGGAGAAGCAGGCCUCCUGAUGAGCAGGGAGAUGUGCGGCUGGAUCCCAGGACCCUGAGAUCAUGACAUGAGCCCUUCAGAGACAGACGCUUAACUGACUGAGCCACCCAGGCACCCCUACUCUUUGUUUUUUUAGUUUGACUGUUGUAAAUACCUCAUAUAAAGUAGAAUCAUACAGUA